UACGGGGGGAGCAAGCGUUGUUCGGAUUUACUGGGCGUAAAGGGCGCGUAGGCGGCGUGACAAGUCACUUGUGAAAUCUCCGGGCUUAACUCGGAACGGUCAAGUGAUACUGUCGUGCUAGAGUACAGAAGGGGCAACUGGAAUUCUCGGUGUAGCGGUGAAAUGCGUAGAUAUCGAGAGGAACACCUGCGGCGAAGGCGGGUUGCUGGGCUGACACUGACGCUGAUGCGCGAAAGCUAGGGGAGCGAAUGGG
rnacentral:rRNA from 1 species